AGAGUGAUCCUGGCUCAGAACGAACGCUGGCGGCAGGCUUAACACAUGCAAGUCGAACGCCCCGCAAGGGGAGUGGCAGACGGGUGAGUAACGCGUGGGAACAUACCCUUUCCUGCGGAAUAGCUCCGGGAAAUGGAAUUAAUACCGCAUACGCCCUACGGGGGAAAGAUUUAUCGGGGAAGGAUUGGCCCGCGUUGGAUUAGCUAGUUGGUGGGGUAAAGGCCUACCAAGGCGACGAUCCAUAGCUGGUCUGAGAGGAUGAUCAGCCACAUUGGGAUGAGACACGGCCCAAACUCCUACGGGAGGCAGCAGUGGGGAAUAUUGGACAAUGGGCGCAAGCCUGAUCCAGCCAGCCGCGUGAGUGAUGAAGGCCUUAGGGUUGUAAAGCUCUUCCCAAGAUAAUGACGGUAGUCGGAGAAGAAGCCCCGGCUAACUUCGUGCCAGCAGCCGCGGUAAUACGAAGGGGGCUAGCGUUGUUCGGAAUUACUGGGCGUAAAGCGCACGUAGGCGGAUAUUUAAGUCAGGGGUGAAAUCCCGCAGCUCAACUGCGGAACUGCCUUAUACUGGGUACUUGAGUAUGGAAGAGGUAAGUGGAAUUCCGAGUGUAGAGGUAAAUUCGUAGAUAUUCGGAGGAACACCAGUGGCGAAGGCGGCUUA
rnacentral:rRNA from 1 species